rnacentral:rRNA from 1 species
AUUGAACGCUGGCGGCAGGCCUAACACAUGCAAGUCGAACGGUAACAGGAAGCAGCUUGCUGCUUCGCUGACGAGUGGCGGACGGGUGAGUAAUGUCUGGGAAACUGCCUGAUGGAGGGGGAUAACUACUGGAAACGGUAGCUAAUACCGCAUAACGUCGCAAGACCAAAGAGGGGGACCUUCGGGCCUCUUGCCAUCGGAUGUGCCCAGAUGGGAUUAGCUUGUUGGUGGGGUAACGGCUCACCAAGGCGACGAUCCCUAGCUGGUCUGAGAGGAUGACCAGCCACACUGGAACUGAGACACGGUCCAGACUCCUACGGGAGGCAGCAGUGGGGAAUAUUGCACAAUGGGCGCAAGCCUGAUGCAGCCAUGCCGCGUGUAUGAAGAAGGCCUUCGGGUUGUAAAGUACUUUCAGCGGGGAGGAAGGGAGUAAAGUUAAUACCUUUGCUCAUUGACGUUACCCGCAGAAGAAGCACCGGCUAACUCCGUGCCA